UACAGAGGUGGCAAGCGUUGUUCGGAAUUACUGGGCGUAAAGGGCGCGUAGGUGGCCUUCUUAGUCAGACGUGAAAUCCCCAGGCUUAACCUGGGAACUGCGUCUGAUACUGGAAGGCUCGAGUUCGGGAGAGGAAUGUGGAAUUCCAGGUGUAGCGGUGAAAUGCGUAGAUAUCAGGAGGAACACCAAUGGCGAAGGCGGCUCUCUGGACCACAACUGACGCUGAGGCGCGAAAGCUAGGGGAGCAAACAGG
rnacentral:rRNA from 1 species